UGGGGAAUAUUGGACAAUGGGCGAAAGCCUGAUCCAGCCAUGCCGCGUGUGUGAAGAAGGUCUUCGGAUUGUAAAGCACUUUAAGUUGGGAGGAAGGGCAGUUACCUAAUACGUGAUUGUUUUGACGUUACCGACAGAAUAAGCACCGGCUAACUCUGUGCCAGCAGCCGCGGUAAUACAGAGGGUGCAAGCGUUAAUCGGAAUUACUGGGCGUAAAGCGCGCGUAGGUGGUUAGUUAAGUUGGAUGUGAAAUCCCCGGGCUCAACCUGGGAACUGCAUUCAAAACUGACAAGCUAGAGUAUGGUAGAGGGUGGUGGAAUUUCCUGUGUAGCGGUGAAAUGCGUAGAUAUAGGAAGGAACACCAGUGGCGAAGGCGACCACCUGGACUGAUACUGACACUGAGGUGCGAAAGCGUGGGGAGCAAACAGGAUUAGAUACCCCCGUAGUCCCUGAGCGGGCUGGCAAGGCGCAU
rnacentral:rRNA from 1 species